rnacentral:rRNA from 1 species
UACGAAGGGGCGAGCGUUGUUCGGAUUUACUGGGCGUAAAGGGCGCGUAGGCGGCGCGAGAAGUCGAGUGUGAAAGCCCCGGGCUCAACCUGGGAAUUGCGCUCGAUACUCUAGUGCUUGAGUUCGGGAGAGGAGCGUGGAAUUCCCAGUGUAGAGGUGAAAUUCGUAGAUAUUGGAAGAACACCGGUGGCGAAGGCGGCGCUCGUGGACCGAGACGUGACGCGUGACGGCGG